CAUUUCUAAGUUUAUGUCACAAAAAUAGUAUUCAAAUGACCAAAAUAGUAUUUUAUCUUUUGAAAAAUUUAAUUUUUUUUUUUUUUUUCAAAAUUUGAAAUCUUAUCCCAAAACCCCACUCCCCAACUCUAAACCCUAAACCCUAAACUCUAAACCCUAAAUCCUAAACCAUAAACCCUAAAUCCUAAACCCCACCUCUUAACUAUAAACUCUAAACCCUAAACUCCACCCCUAAACUCUAAACCCUAAACCAUAAACUC
rnacentral:lncRNA from 1 species